rnacentral:rRNA from 1 species
AGAGUUUGAUCAUGGCUCAGAAUCAACGCUGGCGGCGUGCCUAACACAUGCAAGUCGAACGCGAAAGUCCCGAAAGGGAUAAGUAGAGUGGCAAACGGGUGAGUAACGCGUGGGUGACCUGCCUUCGAGCGGGGGAUAACGUUCCGAAAGGGACGCUAAUACCGCAUAACAUCCUGCCUUUGAAGAGGUGGAGAUCAAAGCUGGGGAUCGCAAGACCCGGCACUUGAAGAGGGGCCCGCGUCUGAUUAGCUAGUUGGUGAGGUAACGGCUCACCAAGGCUUCGAUCAGUAUCCGGCCUGAGAGGGCGGACGGACACACUGGGACUGAGACACGGCCCAGACUCCUACGGGAGGCAGCAGUGGGGAAUUGUUCGCAAUGGGCGCAAGCCUGACGACGCAACGCCGCGUGGAGGAUGAAGAUUUUCGGAUCGUAAACUCCUGUCGAACGGGACGAAAAGAUCACGGGUUAACAGCCCGUAGUCCUGACGGUACCGUUAAAGGAAACCCCGGCUAACUCCGUGCCAGCAGCCGCGGUAAUACGGGGGGGGUAAGCGUUGUUCGGAAUUACUGGGCGUAAAGGGCUCGUAGGCGGCCAACUAAGUCAGACGUGAAAUCCCUCAGCUUAACUGGGGAACUGCGUCUGAUACUGGAUGGCUUGGAUUCGGGAGAGGAAUGCGGAAUUCCAGGUGUAGCGGUGAAAUGCGUAGAUAUCUGGAGGAACACCGGUGGCGAAGGCGGCAUUCUGGACCGACAUUGACGCUGAGGAGCGAAAGCCAGGGGAGCAAACGGGAUUAGAUACCCUAGUAGUCC